AACGACUCUCGACAACGGAUAUCUCGGCUCUCGCAUCGAUGAAGAACGUAGCGAAAUGCGAUACUUGGUGUGAAUUGCAGAAUCCCGUGAACCAUCGAGUCUUUGAACGCAAGUUGCGCCCCAAGCCUUCUGGCCGAGGGCACGUCUGCCUGGGUGUCACAAA
rnacentral:rRNA from 1 species